UACGUAGGGGGCAAGCGUUUGUCCGGAAUUAUUGGGCGUAAAGCGCGUGUAGGCGGUCCGCUAAGUCGGUUGUGAAAUCCCUGGGCUUAACCUGGGAAUUGCAUUCGAAACUGCAAGUCUUGAGUUCUCGAGAGGAUGGUGGAAUUCCUGGAGUAGUAGUGAAAUACGUAGAUAUCAGGAGGAACACCGGAGGCGAAGGCGGCCAUCUGGCGAGACACUGACGCUAAGGCGCGAAAGCGUGGGUAGCAAACAGG
rnacentral:rRNA from 1 species